rnacentral:tRNA from 2 species
UGGGGGAUCGUCUAGCGGUAGGACAGCGGACUCUGACUCCGCUAACCGUGGUUCGAAUCCACGUCCCCCAG